rnacentral:tRNA from 1 species
CUGAGUGUAGCUCAGUGGUAGAGCACUUGCCUGGCAUGUACAAGGCCUUGGGUUUAAUCUCCAACAAACAAG